CGUAGGUGGCAAGCGUUAUCCGGAAUUAUUGGGCGUAAAGCGCGCGUAGGCGGCGAAAUAAGUCUGAUGUGAAAGCCCUCGGCUCAACCGGGAAGGUCAUUGGAAACUGUAUCGCUUGAGUGCAGAAGAGGAGAGUGGAAUUCCAUGUGUAGCGGUGAAAUGCGCAGAGAUAUGGAGGAACACCAGUGGCGAAGGCGGCUCUCUGGUCUGUAACUGACGCUGAUGUGCGAAAGCGUGGGAUCAAACAGGAUU
rnacentral:rRNA from 1 species